AAGAAACGUCCAAACGAUUUACAAAGAGAGUUUGCUUGAUCCAGAAAAAAAUGAUUCAACAACAUUGAUAGGAUUUAUCCGAUAAUCUCUGAGGCAAUGAUAUUUUCAGUUCGGAAUCCCAGUAAAAGAUCCAUCAGCAGAUUUAUCCGAUAAUCUGUCUUUUUUUAAUUCUCCGAUUACACAAAAUUGAUCGGAUUUAUCCGAAAUCUAUCUUUUUGUAAUUCUCAGAUUUCGACAUCAAUGGAUAUGUAAGAUUAGGUGUGGAUUCCAAACGAAUUGGAUCGAAUAUGGGUCUUCUUUAACAGGAAAACAAAUAAAAGAAGCCUAAAUGAAAGAUAAGGAUCCAGAACCCUUUUAAAUUAUGUCUUUACAUCUACUAUGUUCAAUUCGAAACUCUAAUGCUAAUCGUUUUCUUUUGACAUGGUUUAAUUUCUUUGAAUUAGACGCUCAUUGGAAUUGCAUAAAUUGGAUUGAAGAAGGACUGUGAACAUAUUGGUGUAUUGAAAGCAAAUCAAUGUUUAAACUACCUUAUAAAAUCUGAAGUGGAGUAAAGAAAAAAUCUCUACACAAUCCUAGGACCCAUCUUUCAAACGCAAUGUAUGCCCUUUAUAAGUUUUCCAGGUAGAUGAGAAGAAGGUUGCAGUUUAACUUACAUAUACAUCUGCGAGGACCAUGUCAAAGGUCUCUCCAAAAGCGGUGGUGUAAGUUUUCCAAGAGUGAAGGACUCGGACUUGCACUCUCCAAGAUGUCUUGUAGGGCUUGACAUCAUUGAGGUCCAAUCUUCUUAUAAGAUUGUCUAACGGCGAAGCCCAAAAUAAAUAAAGAAUACCCAAGUCAUUGGAUAGGAAGUAAUUAUCGGGUGGGUAUUCGGAUAAAGACGUGGACCCUACAGAUGAAAUCGAUUUAUUAUGUUUUUUAAGUCAAUUUUGUCCUUCUCAAUUUCAAUUAACUGUCUUCUUUAGUUUAGUAAUAAUUGAGUGGCAAUUUGAGU